CCUACGUGUGGCAGCAGUGGGGAAUAUUGGACAAUGGGCGAAAGCCUGAUCCAGCCAUGCCGCGUGUGUGAAGAAGGCCUUCGGGUUGUAAAGCACUUUCAGUGGGGAAGAAAGCCUUGGGGCUAAUACCCUCGAGGAAGGACAUCACCCACAGAAGAAGCACCGGCUAACUCCGUGCCAGCAGCCGCGGUAAUACGGAGGGUGCGAGCGUUAAUCGGAAUUACUGGGCGUAAAGCGCGCGUAGGCGGUCUGAUAAGCCGGUUGUGAAAGCCCCGGACUCAACCUGGGAACGGCAUCCGGAACUGUCAGGCUAGAGUGCAGGAGAGGAAGGUAGAAUUCCCGGUGUAGCGGUGAAAUGCGUAGAGAUCGGGAGGAAUACCAGUAGCGAAGGCGGCCUUCUGGACUGACACUGACGCUGAGGUGCGAAAGCGUGGGUAGCAAACAGGAUUAGAUACCCGAGUAGUC
rnacentral:rRNA from 1 species